GGGCCGGUGGUCUAGCCUGGUAGUGAUACCGCCCUGACGUGGCGGUGGUCGAGAGUUCAAAUCUCUCCCGGCCCACCA
rnacentral:tRNA from 1 species